GUAUAGUUAACGCAAUAAGAAACAACAAUCCCUACUGUCUGUCUUCCUUGCAGUAACUGACCGUUAACCUCAGCUUCCAGCUCCCAGGCUCAGCCGCCACAGGUUCCAUUUUGAUAUUUUGUUCUAAAAAUGAAGAGAAUGACAGAACUAUGAUUUGAAGGUUCCGCAAACAAGAUAGGAGUUGGGGUUGUUGCAUUAGAUGGUACAAAUUUGUCAAAUCCAAGACAUACUUAUAUAACCCCACCUGGUCAAGGUUUUUUGCCAAGAGCACAGCCCAACAUCAUUUGCAACAUGUUUUACCACUUGUAAAAUCUGCUUUAGAGACUGCGGGAAUUACCUCAGAUGAAAUUGACUGUCUUUGUUACACUAAAGGUCCUGGUAUGGGAGCACCUUUACAAGUGUCUGCUGUCGUUGUUAGAGUUCUUUCACAGUUAUGGAAGAAACCAAUUGUUGCAGUUAAUCAUUGUGUUGCACAUAUUGAGAUGGGUAGGAUUGUUACUGGGGCGGAUGAUCCUGUUGUUUUGUACGUCAGUGGUGAAGUUAUUGCUUAUAGUGAAGGACGGUAUCGGAUUUUUGGUGAGACUAUUGAUAUUGCUGUUGGGAAUUUUUUGGACCGGUUCGCUAGAGUCCUGCAGCUGUCUAAUGAUCCAGCUCCUGGAUAUAACAUUGAGCAGCUUGCUAAGAAAGGAGAGCAAUUUAUAGACAUUCCUUAUGUUGUCAAAGGGAUGGAUGGUUUCUUUUAGUGGAAUAUUGAGCUUUAUCGAAGCCACUACAGAGGAGAAGCUUAAAAAUAAUGAGUGCACUCCUGCAGACUUGUGCUAUUCCCUCCAGGAGAAAUCACUUGUGGUAGCUUUAGAAUACUCAGAGGAGAUAAAACAUACGAUUUUAUUACAAAAUAAGUUUACAAAUUACAAAACUCACAAUCUUAAUACACACUCACUUUUCCCUCCUGUGUUUUUGAGAUUAUGUAUUGAGAUUGCGAGUUUUAUAAUUUGUAAAUUGUUUUAUAAUAAAACCGUAAAUUUUAUCUCCUCUUCGUAUUCUAAAACCACAUCCAGUGAUUUCUUCCACCAACCAAAAGCCAGGAUUUUAGUUCAAGACUUGCUAUCCCAGAUCCAUCAUGCGGAACCUAGCUCCAGGUUUAAAGAAAGUUGGGGCAGCUGCAUUUGGAUUGGUGAAAGACAAGUCUCAUGCAGCACUUGGAUGAGUGAAAGACAAGUUUCAUGCAGCACUGGAUGGGUGAAACAUGGAAUCCAUUGGCUGAUUAAACUAGUGAAAGAGGUUUAUAACAAAGUCAAGGGAUUUUUCAGUGCUGCCAAAGAAGCAGGGAGGAAGAAGGCCAAACAGUUGAACCUCAAUAUCCUUUCGGUAAAUGAAGGGCUUCUCGACAAGGUUUUUGAGCGGCUGAUCAUUUCAAUAGUUUAUGCGCUCGAGUUCGUCGUUGUAUUCAAUAUCGUUUCGCGUAUCUGGAAAUUCACGAGAAACCCUUGAUGGGUUUGGAUAGCUGAACUUCCAAGAAUUUCCUUUCAUGGAGGAUGAAAGCCAGCCACCUUUUUAUU